rnacentral:rRNA from 1 species
UACGAAGGGUGCAAAUGUUGCUCGGAAUCAUUGGGCGUAAAGCGCACGUAGGCGGCUUGCCAAGUCGGACGUGAAAUCCCUCAGCUCAACUGAGGACGUGCAUCCGAAACUGGCGAGCUUGAGUACUGAAGAGGAUCGCGGAAUUCCCGGUGUAGAGGUGAAAUGCGUAGAUAUUGGGAAGAACACCGGUGGCGAAGGCGGCUCACUGGCCCGUAACUGACGCUCAUGCACGACAGCGUGGGGAGCAAACGGG